rnacentral:rRNA from 1 species
GAUGAACGCUGGCGGCGUGCCUAAUACAUGCAAGUCGAGCGAAUGGAUUAAGAGCUUGCUCUUAUGAAGUUAGCGGCGGACGGGUGAGUAACACGUGGGUAACCUGCCCAUAAGACUGGGAUAACUCCGGGAAACCGGGGCUAAUACCGGAUAACAUUUUGAACCGCAUGGUUCGAAAUCGAAAGGCGGCUUCGGCUGUCACUUAUGGAUGGACCCGCGUCGCAUUAGCUAGUUGGUGAGGUAACGGCUCACCAAGGCAACGAUGCGUAGCCGACCUGGGAGGGUGUGCGGCCACACUGGGACUGAGACACGGCCCAGACCCCUACGGGAGGCAGCAGUAGGGAAUCUUCCGCAAUGGACGAAAGUCUGACGGAGCAACGCCGCGUGAGUGAUGAAGGCUUUCGGGUCGUAAAACUCUGUUGUUAGGGAAGAACAAGUGCUAGUUGAAUAAGCUGGCACCUUGACGGUACCUAACCAGAAAGCCACGGCUAACUACGUGCCAGCCGCCGCGGUAA